AUGAACGCACAGCAGAUGGACGCUGAGAGACACCGAGGGAGGCGGAGGCUCAGAGGAUCCGGUUCCUAUAGAUUCACUCUGCAUCCACCUCUCGCUCCCGCCUGCGCCUUCGCCUUCGCCUUCGCCGUGCGCUGUACGAGCCUCCUCAUGUUGUCGUUGUGUCUCUGUUUUCCGGUACUCCUCUUGUUUUCAUCUGAAAUGAACCUUCAUGAUUAUGGACCUGCUUAUUGAUUCUGAUUCCUGCAAGAGUGGAUUUUCCUUAGGGGUUUUCUUCUAUUUCUUGAUCAUUAUGACAUCUGGAAAUUUGGUCAGCCAGAGUUGGCCUGAGAAGGAAAUCAAUGAUGCUUCAAGGAUGCCAUGUGAGGAAAACAAUAAAAAAACAAAAGGAAGGGUAUGAGCGUUUGAACUGUGAUCUGAAAUGAAGGGAUGAGGUCAAAAUUUUGUCAUUCACAAAUUUAUUUGCAUUGUUCAACUUUACCUCGCAUAAUGCCUAUAUAUAGCAAUAAUUUUCUUUUGCUUAUUAAGUCACACAAGUUCUCUACCUCAACACACAGAAGAAAACUGGGCAAGAGAGCAUGCAUUGGCCUUCUCAAAAACUGCAAAUCAAUGUUUCAGCUCAAGCAAAUUCAGACUCAGAUGUUUUUUGUGGGUCUACAUGAAGACAUGGACACCCUCGGCAAGCUUAUGGUCAUCUGUGCUGACUCAUCUGUUGGAGACUUACACUAUGCAUGCAGAACCUUCAACUACAUUCACAAGCCAUCAUUGUUUAUAUACAAUCUUAUGAUCAAAGCCUUUGUGGAAAAGAGCACUUUCAGAGAAGCUAUUUCCCUAUUUAGUCAACUGAGGAAAGAUGGUUUAUGGCCAGAUAAUUAUACAUAUCCAUUUGUUCUCAAGGCUCUUGGUUGUAUUGGAGAGUUUAAUGAAGCUGUGAAGGUUCAUGGCUUCAUAGUGAAGACUGGGCUUGAGUUUGAUACUUAUGUUUGUAACUCACUGAUGAGAAUGUAUGCUGAAUUGGGUAAAGUAGAUAGUUUCAAAAAGUUAUUUGAAAAUAUGCCUUUGAGAGAUAAGGUUUCUUGGAAUAUCAUGAUUACAAGUUAUGUAAAGUGUAGGAGAUUCAAAGAAGCCAUUAAUAUUUUUCGGAGGAUGCUAGACGAAAGCAAUGAGAAGCCUGAUGAAGCUACGGUAGUAAGUACUCUAUCAGCUUGUACAGCGUUGAGAGAUUUGGACCUUGGUAAGGAAAUUCACAGUUAUGUCUUAAAUGAAUUCCUUUUAACAACUAUAGUGGGCAAUGCAUUGGUGGACAUGUACUGCAAGGGUGGCUGUGUAAGUAUGGCCCGGGAAAUUUUUGAUAAGAUGCCUGUGAAAAAUGUGGUUUGUUGGACAAGUAUGAUAAAUGGGUAUGUAAAUUGUGGUCAACUGGAUGAAGCUCAACAUUUGUUUGAGAAAAGUCCAACAAGGGAUAUUGUUCUUUGGACAGCUAUGAUUAAUGGUUAUGUGCAAUUCAAUUGCUUUGAUGAGGCAGUUGCAUUAUUUCAAGAGAUGCAAAUGAGAAAAAUCAAACCAGAUAAAUUUAUUGUUGUUACUCUCCUUACAGGUUGUGCUCAGUUGGGAGCUCUAGAGCAAGGCAAAUGGAUUCAUGGUUACAUAGAUGGAAGCAAAAUGACAGUGGAUGUUGUGGUCGGUACUGCACUUAUUGAAAUGUAUGCAAAAUGCGGUUGCGUAGAGAAAUCUUUGGAGAUUUUCUUUAGGUUAAGGGAAAGGGAUACAGCCACAUGGACUUCUAUUAUUUGUGGUCUUGCAAUCAAUGGCAAGACAAGCAAAGCACUUGAGCUCUUUCAAGAAAUGAAAAAAUUUGGGGCUAGACCUGAUGACAUCACCUUUAUUGGUGUUCUUAGUGCUUGCAGUCAUGGUGGAUUGGUAGAAGAAGGGCGAAAGAUCUUUUAUUCCAUGAAAAGAACAUAUCAAAUUGAGCCCAAGGUGCAACACUAUGGGUGUUUCAUUGAUCUUCUUGGUCGAGCUGGACUGUUACAUGAAGCAGAGGAGUUAAUUAAGAAGCUACCAGAUCAAAACAAUGAGACGAUAAUUCCACUUUAUGGAGCUUUGCUGAGUGCCUGCAGAUUUUAUGGCAAUAUUGAAAUGGGUGAAAGGAUUGCUCAGCAACUAGCAAAUAUUGAAUAUGUUGAUUCCAGUCUGCAUGCACUCCUGGCUAACAUUUAUGCUUCAGCUGACAGAUGGGAAGACGCGAGUAAGGUGAGAAGCAAGAUGAAAGAUAUGGGAAUCAAAAAAUUUCCUGGAUGUAGUGCCAUCGAGGUGAAUGGUAUUCUCCAUGAGUUUCUUGUUGGUGAUCCAUCUCACCCAGAAAUAAGAGACAUAUAUUCCAUGCUGGAUUCAAUAACUAAGCCCAUGUCUGGUUCAGAUGAAAAUGAGAUGAAAACAGAAAUUCUGUGUCUAAUGAAUUCUUAAACUGUGAAAUCGUGGUUGGGGACUAUCAAUUUCCUGUCAAACUUCAGAUUGGAGCAACGGAUUUAAAAGGUUUCUUACCGUUUUUUGCUGCGCAGCCAACCUGCCACGGAAGCAAAUAUGGAACCCAAUUUUAAAAUCCUCUCCAGGAAGACGCGCAGAGUGUUGAAGAAUGAAAUUUUGGGUAAACAAGGCAAAUGCUGUUUGUGGAUGAGUUUUUGACUUAAAUUAAUCUUCAAACCUGCAUGAAACGGCUUGGCAAUGUGAACCCAGGGCGUUUUGACUUAAAUUGAUAAGCAUUUCUCAAUCUAGCAAUGCGUGCUAGUCAUGAUGAAGGACGUGAGACCAAAUAUAAACUUCAUCUCAAACGUUUUCCUUGGAAGAUCUUUCAGGCUCAACCAUAGCAAGAUAAUUCUAUUGUCUUAAGAGGCAUGAUGAGGAUCCUAGGAGCUUUGAUUUGACCCUUUUAACUAGAUGCUUUAGAUUCCUCACUCUUACCUAAGGGCACUCGAUAUUCUCGAAAGCAUGGUAUGUGGCGGACAACAAUAUAAUGCAAAGGGAGGCCUGUCGUUGCUUCUGUUUCUGGUAUUUGACUCUCCUUUUAUAUCUUGGAAGUAGUUGAUUUGUUACGCUACUAUGUUUUUAAUUUUAAAUUGCUUUAAAUUAUGUCUAAUAUCAGAACGAAAAAAAUAUUUAAAAAUAUGCAAUUUAUAGUUUAUACAAAUUGACGAAAAUUAAUCAUUUAAGAAUGAGAUUCCUAUGUUCCUAUGUUUCAAGUAGGACAAAAAUUGAAAAAGAAAUGCCUUUCUUGAAUUUCUAUGUACCAGUCAAGUGUAUUGUGUGUGUGUGUGUGUGUUGUUCAAUCAAUGCUGAGAGUAUGAUAAAUACAUUUUA